GACGAACGCUGGCGGCGUGCUUAACACAUGCAAGUCGAACGGAAAGGCCCUGCUUUUGUGGGGUGCUCGAGUGGCGAACGGGUGAGUAACACGUGAGUAACCUGCCCUUGACUUUGGGAUAACUCCAGGAAACUGGGGCUAAUACCGGAUAGGAGCUCCUGCUUCAUGGUGGUGGUUGGAAAGUUUCGGCGGUUGGGGAUGGACUCGCGGCUUAUCAGCUUGUUGGUGGGGUAGUGGCUUACCAAGGCGAUGACGGGUAGCCGGCCUGAGAGGGUGACCGGCCACAUUGGGACUGAGAUACGGCCCAGACUCCUACGGGAGGCAGCAGUGGGGAAUAUUGCACAAUGGGCGGAAGCCUGAUGCAGCGACGCCGCGUGCGGGAUGACGGCCUUCGGGUUGUAAACCGCUUUCAGUAGUGACGAAGCGUGAGUGACGGUAACGGGAAAAGAAGCACCGGCUAACUACGUG
rnacentral:rRNA from 1 species